UACGUAGGGGGCGAGCGUUGUCCGGAUUUAUUGGGCGUAAAGAGCGUGUAGGCGGCCAGGGAGGUCCGUUGUGAAAACUCGAGGCUCAACCUCGAGACGCCGAUGGAAACCCCCUGGCUAGAGUCCGGAAGAGGAGAGUGGAAUUCCUGGUGUAGCGGCGAAAUGCGCAGAUAUCAGGAAGAACACCCGUGGCUAAGGCGGCUCUCUAGUACGGUACUGACGCUGAGACGCGAAAGCGUGGGGAGCGAACAGG
rnacentral:rRNA from 1 species